CACCUGCAACAUGCUUAAAGUUGUAAUUUACGUAGAAUGAAAAUUAAACUUGCAACUUCCAUCUACCACUACACCACGUGUACUCACUGUCCCCAACUGUUUACAUAAACCAUUACCUCCACACUAAAACUAUAGCAUUUUUAGAUCUCAUGGUGUUGUCCCGACCUCCGUAAAGUGUCAUUAAUGCAAGAACGAAUGUAAGUGUCGUCAAGACCAACACAUGUGGUAACUCCAACGAGAACCAGGUCAAUAAGCAUUGGCUACUUUAAGAAAAUGACUGCCCAAGGAUGAAUUUAUAUAUAACCAAGAAGAGUUACCUAACUAAGGUACAAGAUGCUAACUGAACAAUAUAUUAAACAUGAUAUUAUAUACAGUUAAGAGGUGUUAAAGUUCAUCUGCCCCAUAACACCAGGUACUAUAUAUGAACCCUAACCAUUAUUUACCAGACAAUGGUACCAUAUAUCUGUAAGUGAUGAAAGAAUAUAUUUAAAACAUGAAUCAAAACUUCCAACCAUUUUAGUCAAGAUAAAACAUCAAAAUAUCUCGUCAGAGUUGAGCAUAACUUAUCCAAUUUUUACGUACAAAGUUCAAGAGAGAUUGAAGAGUUUCCGUGAGAUAAUGACAACACCUUGACUAUAACAAAUGGUCUACCAUCACUGUACUACUUUACUAAGAUGAUUUACUACCCGUGUUAAUGUACGUACUUGUGAUAAAACUUACGUCACGUGUAAAUAAAGACAGACGAACACAGUUGACACAACUACUGAUGCACAAAUUAUAGUAAAUGAGAGUUCAUCAAUGUUCAACACAACUUAUCCAGUAAAGAUGAAAUUUUAAAGACAUAGAUGAUAAGUUUAACCUUUGCUUACUACUGUACUGUAAACAACAUUAUUAUUAUGAGUGAUAUUUAACCAACACCAAAUGUCUACACUAAGGCCAUGGUAGAAGAAAUUUACAUCUUACGAGCAGAUAAUUAUAACUUGUGCUUAAUAUCUAUAAAAGUGGCAUUUGUCACUUAUCUUUAUUUCUGGUACAUUCAUAGAGUUUGUUCAAGUGGUUUUAUAUUGAUGUAUAUCACUGUAUUCAAGUUUAUGUGUCACAUUUACCUUCUGUUAAAGUCAUUCAAACAUUUA